UACGUAGGGGGCAAGCGUUGUCCGGAUUUAUUGGGCGUAAAGAGCGUGUAGGCGGCCGUACAGGUCAGCUGUGAAAACUCGAGGCUCAACCUCGAGACGUCGGUUGAAACCGUACGGCUAGAGUCCGGAAGAGGAGAGUGGAAUUCCCGGUGUAGCGGUGAAAUGCGCAGAUAUCGGGAGGAACACCAGUGGCGAAGGCGGCGACCUGGGCAGAUACUGACACUGAGGUGCGAAAGCGUGGGGAGCAAACAGG
rnacentral:rRNA from 1 species